CCGCCAGCCCCAGAGCGAGUGUUUGCUCCGCACGCGCGGCGAGCAGCUCCCAAGCGCCCGCCGCCCGCCCUUCCCGGGGGCUCGAAAAGCAGCCGGAGCGGCAGGUUUUGGUCUCCCUCCUGCCAGCGGGGCGCCGCCCCCCGAGCUGACCCGCGCUGCGACGAGAAUGUCACUGGGGAGCCCCGCUAGGGCCGUACCGGACUCGACCCCCCGCCCGGCGGCCCGGUCCUGCGCGGCCUCUGAGGCUACCAGGGAGCGCUCGGCUGACGGCCGCCCUCUAAAAGCCGCCCUUUACCCGAACUCUUUAGCCAGUGGCACAGCCCCGGGAGACUCUCCCGGUAGCUGCGCGAUGGGUUUGCGUGAUGCAGCCUCGGACAAAGGCAGCCCUCGUGGUCUGAAUACAGAAAAAAAGAGAAGAGAGAGAGCCAACCCCUCUGAAACGGCAGUUUCUGAAAACAGAAAAAAAGGUACGAAAAGGAAGACCGUGGUCAUUCCAGCUUGGCGUGUCCUCAGAACAGUGGCAGUGCAAUUCGUUUCUACGUUAUAGCCUAUGACGAAUUCACUUAUUUCAGAAAGAACAGGCAAAAAUCUGCUUGGAGGCGUACCAGGCGAUUCAGGGCAAAAGAGCAUAUUUCAGCCUGAUUCAUGACUGUGUGCAACGCACUUUGAGAGGCUGGCUGUGUCCUGAGGAGCUGAACUCCUCUCAGCACAAACCAUUCAAAUUGUGGGAGGAAAAAGGAAAACUUCUGAAGAAUGCUUUUGCGAUCAGCAACCAAAAAUGUUAAAGAUUGAACAUAACUCUUCCUUCAGUGCAGGUCUCAAAAGAAAACCGGCAAGAAUGAAAACGACAACUGCCAGGACUGCGACAGCAGCAAUGAGUGGAUUGUCAGCAGCAGCGCGAACCGCCUGGAGAGGAGCAGCAGAAGAGUCCAGCCCUGUGAGUGAAGGCAGAGAGUAUUUGGUCUGGUUAUACCAAAGAUGAGGGGACAAAGAGCCGCUAAGUUAAAAAGGUUGCUUUCUAGAUCAGAGCCAGAAAUAAACUAACUUCUUACA